GACGAACCGUGCGAACGUUAUUCGGAAUCACUGGGCUUAAAGCGCGUGUAGGCGGAUGGCCGCGUCGGCCGCUGAAAUCCCCCGGCUCAACCGGGGAACGGGCGUCGAAACGGGCCGUCUGGAGGGGGGUAGGGGGCGCUGGAACUUCCGGUGGAGCGGUGAAAUGCGUUGAGAUCGGAAGGAACGCCCGCGGCGAAAGCGAGCGCCUGGACCCUCACUGACGCUGAGACGCGAAAGCGUGGGGAGCGAACAGG
rnacentral:rRNA from 1 species